GGUUAAGUGACUAAGCGUACACGGUGGAUGCCUUGGCAGUCAGAGGCGAUGAAAGACGUAGUAACUUGCGAUAAGCCCAGAUUAGGUAGUAACAACCAUUUGAGUCUGGGAUUUCUGAAUGGGGAAACCCACUUACAUAAGUAAGUAUCAUUAACUGAAUACAUAGGGUAAGGAGGCGAACCGGGGAACUGAAACAUCUAAGUACCCCGAGGAAAAGAAAUCAACCGAGAUUCCGAAAGUAGCGGCGAGCGAAAUUGGACUAGCCCUUAAGCUUUACACGCGUUAGACGAACGGUCUGGAAAGUCCGACGAUACAGGGUGAUAGUCCCGUAGUUGACGACGUGUGUUCAGUGAAAUCGAGUAGGGCGGGACACGUGAUAUCCUGUCUGAAUAUGGGGGACCAUCCUCCAAGGCUAAAUACUACUGACUGACCGAUAGUGAACCAGUACCGUGAGGGAAAGGCGAAAAGAACCCCUGUGAGGGGAGUGAAAUAGAACCUGAAACCGUGUACGUACAAGCAGUAGGAGCAGCCUUCGUGGUGUGACUGCGUACCUUUUGUAUAAUGGGUCAGCGACUUAUAUUCAGUGGCAAGGUUAACCAUCUAGGGGAGCCGUAGGGAAACCGAGUCUUAACUGGGCGUUCAGUCUCUGGAUAUAGACCCGAAACCAGGUGAUCUAGCCAUGGGCAGGUUGAAGGUUGAGUAACAUCAACUGGAGGACCGAACCGACUAAUGUUGAAAAAUUAGCGGAUGACUUGUGGCUAGGGGUGAAAGGCCAAUCAAACCUGGAGAUAGCUGGUUCUCCCCGAAAGCUAUUUAGGUAGCGCCUCGGACGAAUACUACUGGGGGUAGAGCACUGUUAAGGCUAGGGGUCAUCCCGACUUACCAACCCUUUGCAAACUCCGAAUACCAGUAAGUACUAUCCGGGAGACACACGGCGGGUGCUAACGUCCGUCGUGGAGAGGAAACAACCCAGACCGCCAGCUAAGGUCCCAAAUUACUACUAAGUGGGAAACGAUGUGGGAAGGCUCAGACAGCCAGGAUGUUGGCUUAGAAGCAGCCAUCAUUUAAAGAAAGCGUAAUAGCUCACUGGUCGAGUCGGCCUGCGCGGAAGAUGUAACGGGGCUAAGUAGUAAACCGAAGCUGCGGCAAUAUACUUUUGUAUAUUGGGUAGGGGAGCGUUCUGUAAGCGGUUGAAGGUGUGUGGUAACGCAUGCUGGACGUAUCAGAAGUGCGAAUGCUGACAUGAGUAACGAUAAAGGGGUGAAAAACCUCCUCGCCGGAAGACCAAGGGUUCCUGUCCAACGUUAAUCGGGGCAGGGUAAGUCGACCCCUAAGGCGAGGCCGAAAGGCGUAGUCGAUGGGAAACGGGUUAAUAUUCCCGUACUUCUUACAAUUGCGAUGGGGGGACGGAGAAGGCUAGGUGGGCCUGGCGACGGUUGUCCAGGUUCAAGUGCGUAGGCUUAAGAGUUAGGUAAAUCCGGCUCUUUUUAAGGCUGAGACACGACGUCGAGCACCUACGGGUGUGAAGUCAUUGAUGCCAUGCUUCCAGGAAAAGCCUCUAAGCUUCAGAUUGUAAGGAAUCGUACCCCAAACCGACACAGGUGGUCGGGUAGAGAAUACCAAGGCGCUUGAGAGAACUCGGGUGAAGGAACUAGGCAAAAUGGUACCGUAACUUCGGGAGAAGGUACGCUCUUGAUGGUGAAGUCCCUCGCGGAUGGAGCUGACGAGAGUCGCAGAUACCAGGUGGCUGCAACUGUUUAUUAAAAACACAGCACUGUGCAAAAUCGUAAGAUGACGUAUACGGUGUGACGCCUGCCCGGUGCCGGAAGGUUAAUUGAUGGGGUUAGACUUCGGUCGAAGCUCUUGAUCGAAGCCCCGGUAAACGGCGGCCGUAACUAUAACGGUCCUAAGGUAGCGAAAUUCCUUGUCGGGUAAGUUCCGACCUGCACGAAUGGCGUAAUGAUGGCCACGCUGUCUCCACCCGAGACUCAGUGAAAUUGAAAUCGCUGUGAAGAUGCAGUGUACCCGCGGCUAGACGGAAAGACCCCGUGAACCUUUACUACAGCUUGGCACUGAACAUUGACCCUACAUGUGUAGGAUAGGUGGGAGGCUUUGAAGCACGUACGCCAGUAUGUGUGGAGCCGUCCUUGAAAUACCACCCUUGUAGUGUUGAUGUUCUAACGUCGACCCCUAAUCGGGGUUGCGGACAGUGCCUGGUGGGUAGUUUGACUGGGGCGGUCUCCUCCCAAAGAGUAACGGAGGAGCACGAAGGUGGGCUAAUCACGGUUGGACAUCGUGAGGUUAGUGCAAUGGCAUAAGCCCGCUUGACUGCGAGAAUGACAAUUCGAGCAGGUGCGAAAGCAGGUCAUAGUGAUCCGGUGGUUCUGAAUGGAAGGGCCAUCGCUCAACGGAUAAAAGGUACUCCGGGGAUAACAGGCUGAUACCGCCCAAGAGUUCAUAUCGACGGCGGUGUUUGGCACCUCGAUGUCGGCUCAUCACAUCCUGGGGCUGAAGUCGGUCCCAAGGGUAUGGCUGUUCGCCAUUUAAAGUGGUACGCGAGCUGGGUUUAGAACGUCGUGAGACAGUUCGGUCCCUAUCUGCCGUGGGCGUUGGAAGAUUGAAGGGGCUGCUCCUAGUACGAGAGGACCGGAGUGGACGAACCUCUGGUGUUCGGGUUGUGUCGCCAGACGCAUUGCCCGGUAGCUAAGUUCGGAAUCGAUAACCGCUGAAAGCAUCUAAGCGGGAAGCGAGCCCUGAGAUGAGUCUUCCCUGAUACUUUAAGUAUCCUAAAGGGUUGUCGGAGACUACGACGUUGAUAGGUCAGGUGUGUAAGUGCUGUGAGGCAUUGAGCUAACUGAUACUAAUUGCCCGUGAGGCUUAACCAU
rnacentral:rRNA from 1 species